GCCUUCAUGAAGCUGGAAUUGCUAGUAAUGGCAGGUCAGCAUACUGCCGUGAAUACGUUCCCGGGCCUUGUACACACCGCCCGUCACACCAUGAGAGUUGGAAAUACCCGAAGCCUGUGAGCUAACUGUAAAGAGGCAGCAGUCGAAGGUAGAGCCAAUGAUUGGGGUGAAGUCGUAACAAGGUACC
rnacentral:rRNA from 1 species